ACUAUUUCCAUAGGAGAAUGCUUUUUCACUGAAGUCGAAACUGGCUUUGUACUGACGCCUCGCAGGGGAAACUCCCCGGACACUCACAGACAUUCAUCUGGUUACUUGCAGGAACAUCUGCCUUUCCUGGUGACACCCUCUGCCCUGCAGUCUUCAUUUUCCCUGGAUAGCCCAGCGUCAUUUAAAUACUCAGAAGCCUCUCUGCCUUUCUAUGCUGUUGUCUGCAAAGAGAUGAACGGACCUGUACAGACGGCUGGCCAGUGACGCCGGGAUCUCCAGGUCCUUCCAGAGUGCCUACGGAAAGCUUUGUCCCAUCCUUGAAAAAUUGCUAAUGGGUUUGGAGAUACAAGGUGGAGAUGACUAGCAAUCAAACUCAAAGGUGGAAAAGUCACAUCGAGGCAGAUGAGCAGAUGAGGGGACCUAGAGAAGAAGAGAGGUGCAAGGAGAGCCCAGCCAGCAGGAACAUCUGCCCCAGUAGGCAGCACUGCCCCACAUCAGAGUCGAGGAAAGCAAAGCUUGGAUUGGAUAAAAGAAACCUGCAAACACGGGCAGUGCUCACUGCAUGUGGGCUCAGAGCACAUUACCCUCCUUCCCUGCGCGUUACCCUCCUUCCUGUGAAACGGGUUUACUGCUCUAACUCUCAGGGACACUGUGAAGAUCAAACGAGAAAAUAGAAACAAACGUAAUUUAUAAACCAUAAAGUACUGAUACCAAAAGAGGGGCGAGCACAGCGUUGUGAAUGUGCUGAUAACUAAAUGGUUUACUGUAAGAUGAUUUUAUGGAUGAAGGGAAAAGCUUCAUGACAUUGGAUUUGGCAGUGAUUCCUUGGAUAUGACCCCAAAAGCACAGAUAACAAAAGAAAAAAUAGUUAAAUUGUCUUCAUCAAAAUUAAAACUUUUGUACAUCAAAGAACUCUUU